ensembl:lncRNA
CAUCGCUGUUCUGUUGUGCAGCGUGCGAGCUCAAUGUCAUGUGUUCACACGGUGGAACACCUCCAAGCAAAUUUUAACGCCUGCUUUGAAGUUCAAAGUUCUGGCUGCUGUGGCUGGUGCCAGAUGUGACCCCGGGGCCGGGCAGAAUCGCUGAGCGAGCGCACCUUUGGUGGUGAUGAGCUUCGCUCUUCGGGAUUGAAGACGGUCGUCACCCGAGGAGCUGAAGACAUUUAUUUCAACCAAAAUAAUUGACGGUUUUCAUGCAGUGGCGUGUCCUGCUUCUGUCUCCGGACCCGCUGGACAGAAAUACUAACGGCGCCACCUUCAGGCACAUAUUUGCACGUGCACCUUUUUUCUGGCCCGCAUUGACGUGCGGUUGACUUUGGGAGGUGGUGCUGCAUAACUGAGCUUGAGUGAGUCAGGAAUUUCUUUCAGAUAAAGAUCUCUUCUGAAUUCAGGUAGAUGGCACCAGUGUGUGUGUGUGUGUGUGUGUGUGUGUGUGUGUG